rnacentral:rRNA from 1 species
GUAAGGAAUAUUGGUCAAUGGGCGGAAGCCUGAACCAGCCAUGCCGCGUGCAGGACGACGGCCCUACGGGUUGUAAACUGCUUUUGCCCGGGAAUAACCCCCCGCUCUUGAGCGGGGCUGAACGUACCGGGAGAAUAAGGAUCGGCUAACUCCGUGCCAGCAGCCGCGGUAAUACGGAGGAUCCGAGCGUUAUCCGGAUUUAUUGGGUUUAAAGGGUGCGUAGGCGGCCUGUUAAGUCAGGGGUGAAAUACGGCAGCUCAACUGUCGCAGUGCCCUGGAUACUGACGGGCUUGAAUACCGGUGAAGGCGGCGGAAUGAGACAAGUAGCGGUGAAAUGCAUAGAUAUGUCUCAGAACCCCGAUUGCGAAGGCAGCUGCCUAACCGGCGAUUGACGCUGAUGCACGAAAGCGUGGGGAUCGAACAGGAUUAGAAACCCUGGUAGUCC